GACGAACGCUGGCGGCGUGCUUAACACAUGCAAGUCGAACGGAAAGGCCCUGCUUUUGUGGGGUGCUCGAUUGGCGAACGGGGGAGUAACACGUGUGUAACCCGCCCUUGUAUGAGGGAUAACUUCAGGAAACUGGGGCGAAUACCGGAUAGGAGCUCCUGCUGCAUGGUGGUGGUAGGAAAGUUUCGGCGGUGGGGGAUGGACUCGAGGGUUAUCAGCUGGUUUGUGGGGUAGUUGCGUACCAAGGCUUUGACGGGUAGCCCGCAUGAGAGGGUGACCGGCGACCUUGGGACUGAGAGACGGACCAGAAUCGUACGGGAGGCAGCGGUGGGGAAUAUUGCGCAAUGGGCGGAAGCCUGUUGUGGCAACGCCGCGUGCGGAAUAACGGCUUACGGGGUGUAAACCGCUUUGGCAUGUGACGAAGCGAGAGUGACGGUAAUGAGUAAAGAAGCCACGGCUAACUACGUG
rnacentral:rRNA from 1 species